rnacentral:rRNA from 1 species
ACGCUCGACACCUACGGAGGCAGCAGUAGGGAAUCUUCCACAAUGGACGCAAGUCUGAUGGAGCAACGCCGCGUGAGUGAAGAAGGUCUUCGGAUCGUAAAACUCUGUUGUUAGAGAAGAACACGAGUGAGAGUAACUGUUCAUUCGAUGACGGUAUCUAACCAGCAAGUCACGGCUAACUACGUGCCCAGAGCCGCGGUAAUCUGAGCGGGCUGGCAAGGC